UACGUGAGGGGCGAACGUUGUUCGGUGUCACUGGGCUUAAAGGGUGCGUAGGUGGUUGUGUAAGUAACGUGUGAAAUCCCUCGGCUUACCCGGGGAAUUGCAUGUUAUACUGCAUGACUUGAGGUCUAAAGGGGAAAAGGGAACUCCAGGUGUAGCGGUGAAAUGCGCAGAUAUCUGGGGGAAGGCCGGCGGCGAAGGCGCUUUUCUGGUUAGAUCCUGACACUGAGGCACGAAAGCGUGGGGAGCAAACAGG
rnacentral:rRNA from 1 species